UAUUUAUUAGAUAAAAAACCAAUGCCCUUCGGGGCUCCUUGGUGAAUCAUAAUAACUUAACGAAUCGCAUGGCCUUGCGCCGGCGAUGGUUCAUUCAAAUUUCUGCCCUAUCAACUUUCGAUGGUAGGAUAGUGGCCUACCAUGGUAUCAACGGGUAACGGGGAAUUAGGGUUCGACUCCGGAGAGGGGGCCUGAGAAACGGCUACCACAUCCAAGGAAGGCAGCAGGCGCGCAAAUUACCCAAUCCCGACACGGGGAGGUAGUGACAAUAAAUACUGAUACAGGGCUCUUUUGGGUCUUGUAAUUGGAAUGAGUACAAUUUAAAUCCCUUAACGAGGAACAAUUGGAGGGCAAGUCUGGUGCCAGCAGCCGCGGUAAUUCCAGCUCCAAUAGCGUAUAUUAAAGUUGUUGCAGUUAAAAAGCUCGUAGUUGAACCUUGGGCCUGGCUGGCCGGUCCGCCUCACCGCGUGUACUGGUCCGGCCGGGCCUUUCCUUCUGGGGAACCUCAUGCCCUUCACUGGGCGUGUUGGGGAACCAGGACUUUUACUUUGAAAAAAUUAGAGUGUUCAAAGCAGG
rnacentral:rRNA from 1 species